rnacentral:rRNA from 1 species
AGGGUGACAGCCCCGUACACAAAAAUGCACAUGCUGUGAGCUCGAUGAGUAGGGCGGGACACGUGGUAUCCUGUCUGAAUAUGGGGGGACCAUCCUCCAAGGCUAAAUACUCCUGACUGACCGAUAGUGAACCAGUACCGUGAGGGAAAGGCGAAAAGAACCCCGGCGAGGGGAGUGAAAAAGAACCUGAAACCGUGUACGUACAAGCAGUGGGAGCACGCUUAGGCGUGUGACUGCGUACCUUUUGUAUAAUGGGUCAGCGACUUAUAUUCUGUAGCAAGGUUAACCGAAUAGGGGAGCCGAAGGGAAACCGAGUCUUAACUGGGCGUUAAGUUGCAGGGUAUAGACCCGAAACCCGGUGAUCUAGCCAUGGGCAGGUUGAAGGUUGGGUAACACUAACUGGAGGACCGAACCGACUAAUGUUGAAAAAUUAGCGGAUGACUUGUGGCUGGGGGUGAAAGGCCAAUCAAACCGGGAGAUAGCUGGUUCUCCCCGAAAGCUAUUUAGGUAGCGCCUCGUGAAUUCAUCUCCGGGGGUAGAGCACUGUUUCGGCAAGGGGGUCAUCCCGACUUACCAACCCGAUGCAAACUGCGAAUACCGGAGAAUGUUAUCACGGGAGACACACGGCGGGUGCUAACGUCCGUCGUGAAGAGGGAAACAACCCAGACCGCCAGCUAAGGUCCCAAAGUCAUGGUUAAGUGGGAAACGAUGUGGGAAGGCCCAGACAGCCAGGAUGUUGGCUUAGAAGCAGCCAUCAUUUAAAGAAAGCGUAAUAGCUCACUG